ACUGAAAUACCAGUUCUCGUCUAAUCAUCAAAGUUAAGCAAUGUUGAACCUGGUCAGUACUUAGAGAGGUAACCACUUGGGAAUACCAGUUGCUGUAAG